rnacentral:rRNA from 1 species
GGCCGCGGGAAUUCGAUUGGAUCGCCCUUAGAGUUUGAUCAUGGCUCAGGACGAACGCUGGCGGUAUGCUUAACACAUGCAAGUCGAACGAGACAAAAGAGAAGUGCUUGCACGGAUCUUUUAGAAAGUGGCGAACGGGUGAGUAACGCGUGGGUAACCUACCCUAUGGAAAGGAGUAGCCUCGGGAAACUGGGAGUAAUGCCUUAUAAGAUAUAUUUGUCGCAUGGCAGAUGUAUUAAACGCUCCGGUGCCAUAGGAUGGACCCGCGUCCCAUUAGCUAGUUGGUGAGAUAACAGCUCACCAAGGCGACGAUGGGUAACCGGUCUGAGAGGGCGAACGGUCACACUGGAACUGAGACACGGUCCAGACUCCUACGGGAGGCAGCAGUGGGGAAUAUUGCGCAAUGGGGGAAACCCUGACGCAGCAAUACCGCGUGAGUGAAGAAGGUUUUCGGAUCGUAAAGCUCUGUUAUUGGGGAAGAAAAAAAGACGGUACCCAAGAAGAAAGUCCCGGCUAACUACGUGCCAGCAGCCGCGGUAAUACAUAGGGGACAAGCGUUGUCCGGAUUUACUGGGCGUAAAGGGCACGCAGGCGGUUUUUUAAGUCAGAUGUGAAAGGUACCGGCUCAACCGGUGACAUGCAUUUGAAACUGAAAGACUUGAGUAUUGGAGAGGCAAGUGGAAUUCCUAGUGUAGCGGUGAAAUGCGUAGAUAUUAGGAGGAACACCGGUGGCGAAGGCGGCUUGCUGGACAAAUACUGACGCUGA